AACACUGUAAGUCUCCUGCAUAUGGAAAUUGAUUCGAAUUCUUAUUAUGUUUUAGCCUUAAAUUCUCAUUCUCUGACAGCUCUUGAGUAGUUUAUUUCAGCAGUCAGCACCAUCUCACACACACUCUACGCAGGGAAGCCGAUGAAUAUAAGUGAGUGUUCCAAAAAGAAAAAGAAAAGAGAAAAAAAUAAAGGAAUGCACCUUCUAAGUUUGGUAACCC
rnacentral:lncRNA from 1 species